UAAGAGGCUUCAGCACCAGGGGUCUGCGCUGGAGGGCUCCUGGUCCUGCCCGUGCUGUGGGUGAGAACACCAACUCACAGUUAUUCAGGCCUGACAGUCUCCUGCAUGGAGUGAGAGCUCAGCACACAUCCACAGAGCCAAGGCCAGCAUCUGAAAGAAGAAAGACGCAGAAGAAAAAGGUGACUUCUUUUACUUUCAAGUUCUUUCAGGUUUUUAAAGCCCAAGCAACAUUUGCUCUCAAUUUUGGUUCGGUGAAUCGCGGGCAGUGGGCACAGGUCAAGCCAUUCAUUUAGCUGAAAACUCAGGGUAAUUUAGAGGGAACACAAGAAUUGUUUCCGUAGGAAAAUGAGAGGGGAUGUCAAGGGGAACGAGGUGGCAUUUUUGAGGGGAUUGCUGAGGUAAUUGAAGGCAGCCUGGCAGACAAUUUCCACAGGAAAUCUGAGGCCCCUGAGGAGUGCAAAAUAUCUCCUUUAAAGCGAUAUUAGGAAUCUCGGAGGGUGAGGGGUUUUUCACAGGGAAAAGGUACAAUGUUCUCGUCCACGGCCCUGGGGCUGGCACUGAGUAUCCGCCUGCUAAAAUGCCGAACGGAUCAGGAUUUCUCCCAGCCGCAAACUUCAACCAGUUAGAACCCUGGCUGCCUUUGGUUUGACAAAUACCUUCUCCAAACUGGUCUCAGGUAACUGGGGUUUGAGGUUUUUUUCACAGGGAGAAGGGCCACCAUUCUUUUCCAUGGGCCUCUGCCUGAGACUGGAUUUCUGCAUGCUAAAAUUCGGAACGGAUCAGGAUUUCUCCAAGACAGAAGCUGACACCACUUAGAAACCUGGCUGUUCGUUAAGUUCCCCAUGCCUCCUCCAAACUGAUAUUAAGAAACUGGAGUAUGAGGUUUUUUUCAGAAGGAAAAGGGCCACACUUUGUAUUUAGGGGUCUGUGGCCUGGAGAUGGUUUCUGCCUGCUGUAAUUCAGAAUGGAUCAGGAUAUCUCCCAGAUCCAAGCUGCCACCACUUGUAUCCUUGGCUGCAUUUGGAAUGACAAAGACUUCCUCCAAACCGAUAUCAAGAAUCUGGCAAGCCUCCUGCCUCUGUGGACACAGCUGACCAC